UGCACUGAUGAGUUUGCUCAGACUAGAGUCUCUGAUGGACAUUGAUGUCUGCUCAAGCCCUGAGCA
rnacentral:snoRNA from 1 species